CACACACAUAAAAGAAGAGAGACAAGACUUUAAACCCUGGUUCUUGGAAUCUUCCAAGCAGGAAAUAAAACAGAACUAGGGGAGGUGAAAAAGAAGAGGAAAAAAAGAUGAGAGCCAACCCUAAAAAGAAAUCUAACCAUGCAAGCCCUUAUCUCUCUCUUUCUUUCCAUCUUUUCUUGAGUCAAUGGCCACCUGCCUAAUACUUCUCAGCUGCUUUAUCUUCCCCUUCUUCUUCUCCUCCCCUUUCUUUGUUGCCUAGCUUCUUCCCUUCAUAAACCAAGACCAUUCACACUUUGAAAAGUCAUCAAGAAAAUUCAUACCACAUGCUCGUUCGUACUGCCAGUUAGCAGUAUCUAUCUCCAGAAGACGAAGAAGAAGAAGAAGAAGAAGAAGAAGGAGAAGGAGAAGAAGUACUAGCAGUAAUGGCAACCUAAUUAGUUGAAACUUAUUAAGGAGUUUGUACUAUCUAAGCUUUAUUUUUUAUAUCAACCUCAUCAUGGAGUUCUCAAGUGGCAGAAGAGAGAGAUCUCUCAACCAAGAAAGAGAUCAAGAAGAUCAAGAUCAUGAGUCAACAAAUCAAGCAACCUCUUUGAUCAUUGAGAAGGAACACAUGUUUGACAAGGUGGUCACUCCCAGUGACGUUGGCAAACUGAACAGGCUAGUGAUCCCCAAGCAACAUGCCGAGAAGUACUUCCCUUUGGACACGUCUAGCAACGAGAAAGGCCUUUUGCUAAGCUUUGAAGAUAGGUCCGGCAAGCCAUGGCGUUUUAGAUAUUCCUAUUGGAACAGUAGUCAGAGCUAUGUCAUGACUAAAGGCUGGAGUCGUUUUGUCAAAGAAAAAAGAUUAGAUGCCGGUGACACCAUAUCCUUUGGUCGUGGUGUCGGUGAAGCUGCCCGUGAUCGUCUUUUCAUCGACUGGAAAAGAAGGCCAGACAGAGGGCAAAACCCCCAACAUCCCUUUAGCAGCACAAUCAGCAGCAGCAGCAGCAGCAGAUCCUUGUCCCCAUGGAGCUAUGGGUACCUGACACCAUCAUCUAUUGCAACUUCUUCUAUGGUGUAUGAUCACCGGCAGAGCUACACAUACAAUGUGGGGAGCCCAAGCAGUGGUGCCGGACAGUACCUUCUGUUCAGAUCGGCAGGAGCCUUAUCUCAACCUCCGGUGCAAGUUGGCCAUGUAGGUGGGGACCCUACGGUGGCCUCGCCGAUGGUCCUAGAGUCUGUUCCAGUGGUCCAUGGUAAGGCCACUGCUAAGCGUGUUCGGCUUUUCGGUGUCAACUUAGAUUGCCCUCAAGAUGUUGUUGCAGAAAACAGUCAUUCUACAAUUCCUCUCUUGCCUCUCCAUUUACAGCUCGGUCGACGCACCGAAUCUUUAGAACCAUCUUCUUCUUCUUCUCCUCAGGACCAGCCACCAUCUCUAGAUCUCGAUAUUUAGAGGAAGAUUAAUGUAUGAGAAUUAAGUGUGAUAUAUAUAUAUAUAGAGAGAGAGAGAUAUCAUUGCUUCAUGUUCCCACUUCAUAAUAAUUCAUAUUUGACAGGCUCAGGUUACAAUUGGGAUUGGUCGAUGAAGAGAAAGGUCCCAAGAUACUUUCUUUUUUGUGGUCACUUUGAUGAGUUUGGUUUGGAGGUGUUGAAGGAUGAAAGGAGGAUAUGCUGCUAAAGUAGGUUUAUUCUUUUCUUGUCUUGGAACUCUCGUUUCAAUUGUAAAGAAAUUCAAAGUUCUUGCAGCUGAGUUUUUCUAUCAUCAUGGACGGUCUACAAGCCUUGGAUCAGAUAAUUUUGGACCAACAGAGGGUUAAGCAGGUGAUCAAGUUUGGGAGGAGGGAAUUAUCUUAAAUGAAUGAUUUGAUGGAACUGUAGGUGAUGUUUUCUUGAAAGAUUGUUAAAUGAGAUGUACAAAGAAAUAAGUUAUUAUUCUGGUCUUUUUUUUUUAAGAAAUUAUCUUGAUAUUAUUACAUUUUAGGUAUACUAUUCUUUUUAAGGGAAUAGAUUAAUGGCUUUAGGAAUCUUGAUAUUUCAUAUGUAAGUAUCAAAUCAUACUAAGG